GGGAGGGAAGCGGCUACAGAGCGAGUCUUGCUGCUUCCUCAGGUUAAAAGAAAAUAAAGAAUUAAAGCUGCAAUUCCGCGCACAGCUCUGGGAAGCGUUGGCUCGGAUUGGCUUGGUUCCAUAAACAAGUAUGGGGAAGAGUCUGAAGGUUGGAGACCAAGAAAGUGCUGCUCAUAUAAUUUUUCCCAAAGCAGUUUGAUUCAGAGGUCUGAUGGAAACCCACUCACUUCACAAGGAUUGAAGAGAGCACAAAGGAGAAAAAAUACAAAAAGUUGAAAGAAAAAUGGAGGAAAAGAAGACCACUAACCACAAACAAAAACUACAUCACUGGUCAAGCAUGCUGAUGGCUACUAACAGUGGAGCCAGGAUCAUUGCUUCUGUAAAGUUGGAUAGGAGGCUGUUUAUUGGAUGUUAUUAAAGAUGUAAACAAAUAGAAUACUUUAGGCUUCUACAGAGACGUUGGAUUCAAAAGGUUCUAUUCUUUUUCGGUCUGUUCAAGUCUGUUUCAGCAAACCUGUUCAUGUUAGUCACAGCUCUUGCAGAACUUGUUUAAUAUUCCAUCUGAGUUAGUCCUCAUUAGUAGUAAUUUAACUGACAAAUCUAAUGUCACAUACAACCUAGUAUCACCAAAACUGUGCUUUCCAUUACCAUUUUUGUUUCAGCAUGCACAAUAUACUGUGACCCAUGCCAGUCUUAUUUUCAAUGCACAGCUCUGGAAAUGGCAUUCUGCUGAAGUGAAAUUCUCACAUUCUUCUUCAGCUGCUGCUUAAAAGGAAACUGGCUACUGAAUCAAUAAACCAAAGCACUUAGCUAGCCAGAAAAACGUGGAUAGUGUGCAGUGCUAGGAAGGAUCUGUGUGGACACUGCUGGUACAAGCUGUUCCUCAUCUAUGUCUAUACAUACCAUAAACCAAAUAUGUCAAGUUUGUUACUGUUCUUAAUGAAAAACUGAAGUCUACAUAGUGAGUGAUGAAACUUAAGUUCAGUUCUAAAUCUUUACCAAGCCACAGUAAAAGCCAAUCAUCACUUGUUUCAAAUAGGAAGAAAUGAAUGCUUUGUUCUCAAAGCAUUGCUAAGAUCAUGUACUGAUUUUUCAGGGGGAAAACAUGUUAGUGACUUAAGAAUAUGUACUGGGUUUGCAUGGCAAGGUUUUGGUAGUGAGGGCACUACAGAGGUGGCUUCUGUGAGAAACUGCCAGAAACUUCCCUCACGUCAGACAGAGCCAACACCAGAUGGCUCCAGCACAGAUCUGCAGCUGGCCAAGGCCAAGGCCAUCAGCCACGGUGGUAGGGCUUCUGAGGUAACAGAUUUAAGAAGAGGGGAAAAAAAAAAACCUGCUGUGGGGGGAACAGGAGUGGAGAGAGGAGUGAGAAUAUUUGAGAGGAACACCUGUUCAGACACUGAGGUCAGUGGAGAAGGAGGGGGAGGAGAUGCAGAGAUUCCCGUACAGCCCAUGGUGCAGAUCAUGGUGAGACAGGCUGCCCCCCUGCAGCCCAUGAAGGUCCACGGUGGAGCAGAGAUUCACCUGCAGCCCGUGGAGGACCCCACACCAAAGCAGGUGGAUGCCCAAAGGAGGCUGUGACCCCGUGAGAAACGCACACUGGAACAGGGCCCUGUCAGGACCUGUAGCCUUGGGGAGAGAGGAGCCCAUGCUGGACCAGGUUUGCUGGCAGGACUUGUGACCCUGCAGGGGACCCAUGCUGGAGUGGUAGCCCAUUGGAAGGACUGACAUUGGAGAAGUUCAUGGAGGACUGUCCUCUGUAGGAGGGACCCAUGCUGGAACAGGGGAAGAGUGGUAGAAGGAAGGAGCAGCAGAGACAGUGUUUGAUGAAGUGACUGUAGUACAGUACAAGUAUUAAACUCCUACAAAUCAGGACUGGAAUAAUCUCCUGCUUCUGUGCACAGCUUGUAGAACUGAUGCACUUAUAUACGUUGGAGCAGCUUUGAGGCUAGAAACUCUUACCUGUAGAUAUAGAAGUUAUUUAAAAUCCUGUUUUCAGAAAGUGUUUUCACUGUGCUGGUAACAGACACGCCAAAAUCACUGUAACCAGACUUAAACAACUUGCAUAUGACUGUAUUUCAAC